UACAGAGGGGGCAAGCGUUGUUCGGAAUUACUGGGCGUAAAGGGCUCGUAGGUGGCCAACUAAGUCGGAUGUGAAAUCCCCAGGCUCAACUUGGGAACUGCAUCCGAUACUGGAUGGCUUGAAUCCGGGAGAGGGAUGCAGAAUUCCAGGUGUAGCGGUGAAAUGCGUAGAUAUCUGGAGGAAUACCGGUGGCGAAGGCGGCAUCCUGGACCGAUAUUGACACUGAGGAGCGAAAGCCAGGGGAGCAAACGGG
rnacentral:rRNA from 1 species